rnacentral:rRNA from 1 species
AGGGGAUCGAAAGACCUUAUGCUUUUGGAGCGGCCGAUGUCUGAUUAGCUAGUUGGUAAGGUAAUGGCUUACCAAGGCAACGAUCAGUAGUUGGUCUGAGAGGACGACCAGCCACACUGGGACUGAGACACGGCCCAGACUCCUACGGGAGGCAGCAGUGGGGAAUUUUGGACAAUGGGCGCAAGCCUGAUCCAGCAAUGCCGCGUGAGUGAAGAAGGCCUUCGGGUUGUAAAGCUCUUUCAGUCGAGAAGAAAAGAUCGUGACUAAUAAUCAUGAUUCAUGACGGUAUCGACAGAAGAAGCACCGGCUAACUACGUGCCAGCAGCCGCGGUAAUACGUAGGGUGCGAGCGUUAAUCGGAAUUACUGGGCGUAAAGGGUGCGCAGGCGGUUCUGCAAGUCAGAUGUGAAAUCCCCGGGCUUAACCUGGGAAUUGCGUUUGAAACUACA